rnacentral:rRNA from 1 species
AUUGAACGCUGGCGGCAGGCCUAACACAUGCAAGUCGAACGCGUGGCUGACGGGUGAGUAAUGUCUGGGAAACUGCCUGAUGGAGGGGGAUAACUACUGGAAACGGUAGCUAAUACCGCAUACCAUCGGAUGUGCCCAGAUGGGAUUAGCUAGUAGGUGGGGUAAAGGCUCACCUAGGCGACGAUCCCUAGCUUGUCUGAGAGGAUGACCAGCCACAUGGGAACUGAGACACGGUCGAGACGCAUACGUGAGGAAGCAGUGGGGAAUAUGGCAAAAUGGGCGAAAGCCUGAUGCAGCCAUGCCGGGUGGAUGAAGAAGGCCUUCGGGGUGUAAAGUACUUUAAGCGGGGAGGCGUGACCCGCAGAAGAAGCACAGGCUAACUCCGUGCCAGCAGCCGCGGUAAUAC